UCCCAUAUUGUCUAGUGGUAAGGAUACUUAGCUCUCACCCAGGAGACCCGGGUUCAAUUCCCGGUAUGGGAA
rfam:Daphnia pulex DAPPTscaffold_1296_Cont12468, whole genome shotgun sequence.